GGUCAAUGAGUAUUUUUAAGAUAUUUAAAAAUUUAUUAAUUGAAUUGAAGUGAUUUUUUUUUUGGAGGCUAGAUUUAAUUUUCCACAAUUUAAGUGUAUUUUGAAGGCAAUUCAAUAGUUCAAAAAGGAGAUAUUGGCACUAGAAGUUCAAUAUUCAGAUUGAAGUAGGAAGCUAGCCAACAUUUGAGCAAAAUUUAGAUUUGAUCCUCUAUUUGGUAAGUCUGAUCUUCUUCAAAUUCUAUGUGCUUGUUUCUAACUUAAUUGUUGAAAGAUGUGAAGAAUCUUAAGCAUAAUCAACAAUAUAAUUGAUAGAUAUUGAGGUUCUAAAUUAUCUUAGAGUUAAAUUAAUUUGAUUAGGAUUUGGUUUAAAAUUUAAGAAUUGGUUAAAAUAUAGGAUUUUUUUAGGAUUUAAUUAGAAUUUGAUUUAGAAUUUAAAUAAAAACUAUUAGGAUUUUAAUUAAGAUUGAAUUAAAAUUUGAUUAGA
rnacentral:lncRNA from 1 species